rnacentral:rRNA from 1 species
GAUGAACGCUGGCGGCGUGCUUAACACAUGCAAGUCGAACGGAAAGGCCACACUUUGCUGUGGUACUCGAGUGGCGAACGGGUGAGUAACACGUGGGUGAUCUGCCCUGUACUUCGGGAUAAGUUCGGGAAACUGGGGCUAAUACCGGAUAGGAAUCACAUGUGGGUGUGUGGUUGGGAAGCUUUUGCGGUAUGGGAUGAGCUCGCGGCCUAUCAGCUUGUUGGUGGGGUAGUGGCCUACCAAGGCGUCGACGGGUAGCCGGCCUGAGAGGGUGUACGGCCACAUUGGGACUGAGAUACGGCCCAGACUCCUACGGGAGGCAGCAGUGGGGAAUAUUGCACAAUGGGCGGAAGCCUGAUGCAGCGACGCCGCGUGCGGGAUGACGGCCUUCGGGUUGUAAACCGCUUUCGUCAGGGACGAAGCGAGAGUGACGGUACCUGGAAAAGAAGCACCGGCUAACUACGUG